GAGUUUGAUCCUGGCUCAGGAUGAACGCUGGCGGCGUGCCUAACACAUGCAAGUCGAGCGCGGUUGUGCUUAGUAUUGAGUGUUUUAUUGAUAUAAAACAUUGAAUUCUAUGCACAACUGAGCGGCGGACGGGUGAGUAACGCGUGGGUAACCUGCCCUAUACACAUGGAUAACAUACUGAAAAGUUUACUAAUACAUGAUAAAAUAGUUUUUCGGCAUCGAAGAAUUAUCAAAGUGUUAGCGGUAUAGGAUGGACCCGCGUCUGAUUAGCUAGUUGGUGAGAUAACUGCCCACCAAGGCAACGAUCAGUAGCCGACCUGAGAGGGUGAUCGGCCACAUUGGAACUGAGACACGGUCCAAACUCCUACGGGAGGCAGCAGUGGGGAAUAUUGCACAAUGGGCGCAAGCCUGAUGCAGCAACGCCGCGUGAACGAUGAAGGUCUUCGGAUCGUAAAGUUCUGUUGCAGGGGAAGAU
rnacentral:rRNA from 1 species